AAGCGUGGGUAGCGAACAGGAUUAGAUACCCUGGUAGUCCACGCCGUAAACGAUGACAACUAGCUGUUAGGAGACUAUGUCUUUUAGUGGCGCAGCUAACGUUUUAAGUUGUCCGCCUGGGGAGUACGGCCGCAAGGCUAAAACUCAAAUGAAUUGACGGGGACCCGCACAAGCAGUGGAUCAUGUGGUUUAAUUCGAUGCAACGCGAAAAACCUUACCUACUCUUGACAUACUUGGAAGCUCUUGUAAUGAGAGUGUGCUUUUAAGAACCAAGAUACAGGUGCUGCAUGGCUGUCGUCAGCUCGUGUCGUGAGAUGUUCCGUUAAGUCGGAUAACGAGCGCAACCCUUACCCUUAUUUGCCAGCGAUUCGGUCGGGAACUAUAAGGGGACUGCCGGUGAUAAACCGGAGGAAGGUGAGGACGACGUCAAGUCAUCAUGGCCCUUACGAGUAGGGCUACACACGUGAUACAAUGGGAGAGACAGACGGACGCUAAGCCGCGAGGUGGUGCUAAUCCUAGAAACUCUCUCGUAGUCCGGAUUGGAGUCUGCAACUCGACUCCAUGAAGUUGGAAUUGCUAGUAAUCGCGGAUCAGCAUGCCGCGGUGAAUACGUUCUCGGGUCUUGUACACACCGCCCGUCACACCAUGGAAGUG
rnacentral:rRNA from 1 species